UGAUAUCUCAAGGACGUUAUCAGAAAAACAUCAACACAUCUUCUUUUUCUAUCUAGUAUGUAUGAUAAAUAUAUAUAAAAAAGAAAUAAAUUAUGAAGAUUAUUAUUUUUUGGUACAUAGUAAAUAUCCCAUGUUUAGAAAUGGAAAAUCAAAAAAUGAAGUUAUACAAAUGAUGCAGGAAAAGAAAAUGCGUAUUUUAAGACAGGAACAGAAGGAAUAUACCCAGCCGGUAAUUCGACUAAAUCCUCAUUCAAAUACAAUUAUACCAAAUGAUAUAAACCAAAAUAAUCAAUCGGAAAAGACACAAACAGAACAAAACAUGAUAUCAGAAAGAGAAAAAGGUCAAGAAGUUAGCUUUUUCGAUUCGAAUGGAGACAUAAAAACGAAUAGCGGAAGCGAAGAGUAUGAUAGUUCACUAAUAUAUGACAGUAACGAUGAUAAUACAACUGAACAUGGUUUUUUUUCUUCCAGUUGUGGAUCGGAUAGUGAGCAAGACGAAUGUAUAAAAAAUGAGACGUGUGUAGGUAUACAAAAUAGUCAUAAUAGUCAUAACGGAAACGACAAUAAAAAUGGCAACUUAAACGAUAGUAUAGACAACAGUCAGGUGCAACAAAUUAACAAAUAUAAAAAGGAAAGCAUUGAAUAUUUGGUACUCCCGAAAAUAAUUGAGGAGGAUGACUUUAUGAAUAGUUUUGAGGAUACCAUAAUAAAAGAUAUGAUGUACGGAGAAGGUGGGUGUAAUAGUAACGAUAUACAUGGUGACACUGAUAAUAUCCGAAAGGUAUCCUUUUCAUUCGAUUUUGAAACUAAAGAUUUGUCAUGGGUAAGCAUAAAUGAAUAUAUGGAAGUUAAAAAACUGAUGAAUAAAAGAAAAUAUUAUUUAUUUUUUAGAUUAGCUUUUAAUGAAUAUGAACAUAUUUUUCGAAAUAUAAAAAUUGAUCAUACAAUAUUACAACAUAAAAAUUUAAAAAAUUUAUUAACCGAUUUUGAGAAAUUAAUUAUUUAUAAAAUUUUUCGUUUUGAUAUAUUAAAAUUAAAUAUAAAUAGUUAUGUAUAUAGUUAUUUAAAUAUUUCAUCACAAAAUUAUUCAAAAGAUUUGUAUAAAUGUUAUAAACAUUCAGCUAAAAAUAAAAUAAUAUUGUUACGUUCAGAACUUCGUUUUAAUGUUGCUAGUGAAAUUAUGUUACUAAAUGAAAGAAUAACUGGUAAAAAUAAUUUAAUUAUAUAUAAUAAAAGUGAAA
rnacentral:lncRNA from 1 species